AAUGGAGGGAACUCUGAUGCAGCGACGCCGCGUGAGUGAAGAAGGUCUUCGGAUCGUAAAACUCUGUCCUUGGUGAAGAUAAUGACGGUAGCCAAGGAGGAAGCCCCGGCUAACUACGUGCCAGCAGCCGCGGUAAUACGUAGGGGGCUAGCGUUGUCCGGAUUUACUGGGCGUAAAGGGUGAGUAGGCGGUUGCAUAUGUCAGAUGUAAAAGGCACAGGCUUAACUUGUGUUAGCAUUUGAAACUGUGCGACUUGAGUGCAGGAGAGGUAAGUGGAAUUCCUAGUGUAGCGGUGAAAUGCGUAGAUAUUAGGAGGAACACCAGUGGCGAAGGCGACUUACUGGACUGUAACUGACGCUGAGUCACGAAAGCGUGGGUAGCAAA
rnacentral:rRNA from 1 species